UGAUUAGUCUCCUAGAAUUAACCUACUGCGCAUUUAGCAUCUUGUGUAGAAGUGCCCAAACAGUAGCAAAAAUUGCUUUUGUAAGUGCAGCCUCAGGUGGCUGAUUCUCUUUCUCUACCAUCAUGGCCUGGACCUUGCGGAGCAGGCACAGUUAAAAGCUCAGCUCCCCCUGAGCAUCUGCUGAGUGUACGGAGUAUGUCAGUGCAGGAACAUGUUAGCUCCAUGUGGCAGGGAGCACUUGAUCCAUCGUAAUAUUGAGUUACAUCACGAGGACCUGAACUAUGCGACCCAGAAUAUUUGACCUAAUGUCAAGAGGGGCCUAGGCCUAUUGAGAUAUUUCACUGAGACACCCUGGCCUCCUUCCACUAGCGGAAUCUGAUCCAGCAACAGAAAAGUGUGAGAAUUUUCAGCUGUCCCCAUCCCAUGUGAAACAGUCAGGGAGUUGGUGGUCUCCAGAAUCUUGCAGAAUCAGACCCUAUAAAGGCAUCUAUGGAGUGGAUCAGGGCAGCUGCUUUAACAGCAACAAGAGAAAUCCUAGACAAUAAGACUGGAAGGGACCUCAAGACAGCCCUUGAGGUUGAGAAGUGUGAAUGAGAGCUGCAGAAGGACUUCAGGGCAGCAGAAUGGAAUGGCCCAAUUUGGAAUCUUGCCAGGCCCAAGGCUAGCAUAUAUAUGUGAAGUAAGCUAUGGGAACUCUAGUUCAGUCAGUACUUUACUUUUACCUCAUAUGCCAAAGGAAGGACCUUCUGCCAUAUGCUGUCCUCAAGUACUGGACCUGAGGCAUGGGUUCACAACCAUCUCAGACCAGAAGCACUGACAAAUUUGAAGAAACUUGUUGGCCCCAGAAAACUGAAACCUCUACACUUUGCCUAAGCCACC